rnacentral:misc_RNA from 1 species
GAUUUGAAUGACUGGUGCUCUAGUUUCCAUGUUGACUAUGUUGACAAAAAGAGACUGAAGGCUGAGCCGCAUUGCAGAGAAUUUCGAUGACAUGAACAGUGGUUUUGAACUUCUGAUAAUUGAUGAACAUACCCAUUUUGGGGAUUUUAAUGGAUAUACUGUAUCGAGUUGUGAACCAGUUGGCAAAUGCAAGUUUUUGGCUUGGCAGUAGUUGAUUUUAAUGGAGACAGUAGCAGGAGUAACAAAAUAAUGAUGAAGUAGAAACAAAGAAUGAUAUGCAAGGCAGCAGCAAGAGAUAAGAGAAUUUGAUAAAAUAACUAGCAACCCCCCUACAUCACUCUAUCAGGCUUAUUUUACACAAUACUAGGAAGUCCUUAAUUUUUGUAUAGUAAGAACAUAUAUCAGCAUGCAUCUUGAUCCCACACAA